rnacentral:rRNA from 1 species
AGUGAACGCUGGCGGUAGGCCUAACACAUGCAAGUCGAACGGCAGCACAGUAAGAGCUUGCUCUUACGGGUGGCGAGUGGCGGACGGGUGAGGAAUACAUCGGAAUCUACUUUUUCGUGGGGGAUAACGUAGGGAGACUUACGCUAAUACCUCAUACGACCUACGGGUGAAAGCAGGGGAUCUUCGGACCUUGCGCGAUUGAAUGAGCCGAUGUCGGAUUAGCUAGUUGGCGGGGUAAAGGCCCACCAAGGCGACGAUCCGUAGCUGGUCUGAGAGGAUGAUCGGCCACACUGGAACUGAGACACGGUCCAGACUCCUACGGGAGGCAGCAGUGGGGAAUAUUGGGCAAUGGGCGCAAGCCUGAUCCAGCCAUACCGCGUGGGUGAAGAAGGCCUUCGGGUUGUAAAGCCCUUUUGUUGGGAAAGAAAAGCAGCAGGUUAAUACCCGGCUGUUCUGACGGUACCCAAAGAAUAAGCACCGGCUAACUUCGUG